AUUGAAAUUACCUGAGGAGCUUAUGAAAAUGCAGAUUCUGAUUCAGUGGAUUUGGGGCAGGACCUGAGAUUCUGUAUUUCUGACUAGCUCCUGGGUAAUGCUGAU
rnacentral:pre_miRNA from 1 species